AGACUGACACUAGGUAUAUUCUCCUUCUGUCUCUGUCCUCCAAGGACCCACUGAAACCUGACAGAGGCCAGGAUUAGGGUAAAGAGAAUCUGAGAGCGACAGUCACUCCAGUCAGGCUGCUGCAGCCCAUCACAUAUAGCCAGUCUGCCUCUGUGGGCGUGAGAAGGAGACAUAAAUGCUGCUGGCCAUUAAGCACGAGUUAGACAUGCCAUCCUGCCAACACAUUUCAAAAGUGCAUAUCACAAGGCCCUUGUUGAGCCCUGGCAGUCAGCCAGGCCAGACCACAAAAGGAUGUUGUUUCUCUGCUGGAGCUCCUGGGUGGCCAGACGGGCCAAGGCACUGCAUUUCUGUAGUGUAUAGGGCUCUUUGGUGGCUUCCUGCCUCCCAGCCAUCCCUUUUCCUGGUGGCCCUGUCACAGACAUCCCAGUAGCAAUGCCUGAGUCAGCCAGGAAAGCCCCCCUUUACCUGGCCCUUCCCUGCAUCACCAGAAACAGCAAGCAGAGUGACUUCACACAAAGCUUUCACUGUGGGUUCGGCAGCCAUUUCUCUCCCCCCCCCCCCCCAGUUUGGCGUUUUCUCCCCUUGAAGGACUCAGGAAAAGGUUCUUUUAUCUACAGUUGGUAGAAAUCAGCUUCUGUCUGUGUCACAGAAGUCUGACAGACAGCCACAGUCAAGAGAUGGCAGCAGGCAUGUGAUGCGACCAGCUGAAGCAGGCCUCCUUCCCAGCAGACCAUCUGCAAAUAUUUAUGGAGGCUCUACUGUGUGCCAGCUCUGUGCCCAGGUCUGCGGGGCACACAGGCGUCCUGUGUGAAACAAGGAAUGUAUGUUAGGAAUGGGAAGACUAGUGGACAUGCAGGAAAUGGAGAAAGAGUCUGUCACUAGGUCCUGGAGCUGGCCAGGUAGCCUAGGGUAGCUGACCCCGCAAAGCCCAGGAGCCUCCUGUCUGCAGCUCUUCACAGUUGAGCCCACAACCUCACCUCACAUCACCACUGCUUAUGUGGGUUCUGAGACUCAAACUCACAUCCUCAUGCUUUCGAACCAAGCAGUGUGCCAACAGAUCCAGCCCCCAGUUCUGGAACUCUUUCAGGACCCAAUUCAGUGGUCAGAAACCAAAGCUGAAGAUACCUUCUGACUCCAGGAGCUUGGUGACCAAUGACUCUGAACUUCAGGAUCUUGGUAAUUCUGUGACGCUCCAAGGAGCUGUCUCCCUGCUUGGCACAGAAAGGGCAAUGUCGGGAGUGGGCUGCCAUGCCUGUUGAAAAGUCCCCGUGACCUGCUCCUCUUGUUUAUGUACUGUCCUGGGGAAGGUAACAAUUUAGAUGGCAAAUGUCGCUGCCAGGGCUGGGAGUCACAGUCUUAAUUCCCGGGUAUUUACUGUGACAGGUUUAAUGUUCUAAUAUCUCAGGGAGACCCAGGCUCCACUCCAGAGCAGACAAGAUAGGAAUGGCCAAGACGCCUCACUUGGCUUUUUAUCCUGACAAUUUAUGAAACCUGAUGCUUCCGUUAGCUCUUAGGCUCAGGGGCCCUGGAGCAAGAUCUGGGGAGCAUCCCAGCUCUGACUGACUGCUGCCUGUCUCUCAUCCCUGAGUGAGCCCCUGGCACUGGCCUUCCUGCGGGGGAUCCCUGGCAGGCCCCUCCUUGAUGGCCUGUAGCUCCACAUUACUUGGCAGCGGACGGCGAUGCCUGCUUCAGUCAGGCUGUGGGGGACCUGAGGCAGCAUCGGUGACAUAGCAACCUCGCUUCCAAAUUCAGCCUCAAGCAAACAUCCGCAUUAGUGAUUCGUUUCCACACUGGGAUCAUCAGUGUGCGGUGGCUCAGACAGCCUCCUCCGCUAGCAGAGCAGAUGCUCCAGCACUGGGUCGAAGCAUUCCUAAGUCCAGUGGACAAAACCAGGCCACACUAUCUCCCUCCAUUCCUCCCCCCAUUCCUGCCCAUAGGUCUGUGUGGACAGAAGGAGCUGAGGGACCUUCCUACCUUAUAUAAGGGGAGGGGGGGAGAAGGGGAGAAAGAAUCACUCUGUAGCCGAGGCUGGCUUUAAACUUGUAACAGCCCUCUUGCCUCAGCCUCCUGAAUUCUGAGGUGACAGGUGCGAACCAUCUCCAGCAAAAUAAUUGUUACAAAGAAAUUUGCUGGGAGCCUUUUAGUUCUUGACCAUGAGCUGGCUUCCUACUCCCUAAUUUGAGCUUCUAUUUCUUCCCCACAAAUUAUUCUAGUGAAAGGGAGAAUAUUUUAUUUACCUAAAUCUUCACUGUGUCUAAAGUGGUCUCCAGGACUGGGGCUUGUGGGAAAGCAGCUGUUUUUAGCGAAGGGCCUGGCACCUGGUAAAUCCUCAAAGGUCAUUCACGACUGUAAUUACUGUCAGCCUCUUUAGGUGGGAUGCCUCUUUGUGUCUUCCAUGAACAGAAUCAUCUCAGGCCUGAAUUGGUUUGUGGGGAGGUAAUUAUGAAACAAAGGGGUCUGGUGACAGCUGGGUCUCAGAGGAAUCAUUCUGCUCACGUGGUCCAAUCGAACUUUCUGUCAUGGUGGAGAUUUUCUAAUCCUCACAGUUCAACACAAUAGCCAAGGGGUGCACGGGGCAAGGCAGCACCUGAGGGGCAGCAAGUACAAAUGAGAAUGUAAAUUUUUAAUUUGAGUUCAUUUAAAUGUAGAUAGCUACAUGUGGCUGGUGCCUACUGGUCUGGUGGGAUGGUGAGGCCCAGGCUGUGGCUACUGAGUAUGUCGUGCAGCAUAUGAGGGACUAGGAGCAGGCUCAGGAGGUAGAGUGCCUGCCCUACAGCGAAAGGAUCUGUUUGGAUCCCUAAGACCCGUGUGAAAUGGGGCACUGUGCUGCUUGCCUGCAACCCCAGAGCUGAGGAAUGGGGACAGGGAUUCCCAGGGUCUUCCUUGCUGGUCAGCAAAUGUAGCUAAAACAGAGUUUCCAGUUCAGAGUGAAGCCGUCUCAAGAAAAAAAAAAAAAAAAAAAAAGGGGCAGGAAAGUGAUUGAGGAAAGAUAACUUGCUGAAAAAUCUCUAGUCUUCACACAUACACACACUCUCACAUAUGCACACACACCACACACAUAUAAUACUAAUAUACACACUUAUAUACACAUAUACAUACAUAUACACACACAUACAUACUCCACAGACACACACAUAUGCACACUUACACAUAUGCACACACACCACACACAUAUACAUACUCACACAUACACACACUUAUACACACACACAUAUAUAUAUAUACAUACAUACACACAUACACACUCCACAGACACACACAUAUACAUACUCACAAAUAUGCACACAUACCACACACAUAUGCAUGCUUACACAUACACACGCUUACACACACAUACACACACUUAUACAUACAUACACACAUGCACACACAAUCACACACACAUAUCACUAAAUGAGUGAACAAUUAUAAACUAGUGACUGGCACAGUUGUAGCUCUCAUGCCACAGGCAGUUAGAGAGACUGAAAACUUUGACCAUAUUAUACACAAAUGUUCUAACAUAAGCAGUCACUAGAAUAUUUGUCCUAAGGAGGCAACAAUCCUCAGUCCUGUGCAUUAAAGAAUUUGUUGGACAUUUCUGGGAGAUGAUGUGCCUGAAACUUGAGCUCUGGCUUGCAGGUUGGCCAUAGACCCUGCCAGAGGACCAUGAAGUCACAUCUGUUCAAAUUGAGCUGGUGAUGUCCUCGACUAGGGAAUGAAAGUCAAACACUACACAGGGGUUUCUGUCAAUGUUUUCUUAGACAUAUUCCAAAUCUUCCAAACAGUGCACAAUAUAAUAUUCUUAGCUUUGGACUCUGCCACUCCACAUCUAGAAAUGAUACUUUCAAAUAUAGAAAUACACUAAGAUGCUAAUAACAACGG
rnacentral:lncRNA from 1 species